rnacentral:SRP_RNA from 1 species
GCCGGGCAUGGUGGUGCGCACCUGUAGUCCCAGCUACUCAGGAGGCCGAGGCAGAAGGAUCAGGUGAGCCCAGGAGUAAAGCACUGUGCCUACUGGGUGUCUGCACUAAGUCUGGCAUCAGGCCACCACUCAGAGGGGUGAACCAGCCUAUGCUGGACAAGGAGCAGGUCAAACGCUCCUGCUGGUCAGUCGUGUGACUGUGCCUAAGAAUAGCCACUGCACGCCAGCCUGGGCAACAUGGUGAGAAAUGAGACCCUAUCUCU